GUCCACGCCGUAAACGAUGGAUACUAGCUGUUGGGCGCAAGUUCAGUGGCUAAGCGAAAGUGAUAAGUAUCCCACCUGGGGAGUACGUUCGCAAGAAUGAAACUCAAAGGAAUUGACGGGGCCCGCACAAGCGGUGGAGCAUGUGGUUAAUUCGAUGAUACGCGAGGAACCUUACCAAGGCUUAAAUGUAGUCUGACCGAUUUGGAAACAGAUCUUUCGCAAGACAGAUUACAAGGUGCUGCAUGGUUGUCGU
rnacentral:rRNA from 1 species